rnacentral:rRNA from 1 species
AUUGAACGCUGGCGGCAGGCCUAACACAUGCAAGUCGAACGGUAACAGGAAGAAGCUUGCUUCUUUGCUGACGAGUGGCGGACGGGUGAGUAAUGUCUGGGAAACUGCCUGAUGGAGGGGGAUAACUACUGGAAACGGUAGCUAAUACCGCAUAACGUCGCAAGACCAAAGAGGGGGACCUUCGGGCCUCUUGCCAUCGGAUGUGCCCAGAUGGGAUUAGCUAGUAGGUGGGGUAACGGCUCACCUAGGCGACGAUCCCUAGCUGGUCUGAGAGGCUGACCAGCCACACUGGAACUGAGACACGGUCCAGACUCCUACGAGAGGCAGCAGUGGGGAAUAUUGCACAAUGGGCGCAAGCCUGAUGCAGCCAUGCCGCGUGUAUGAAGAAGGCCUUCGGGUUGUAAAGUACUUUCAGCGGGGAGGAAGGGAGUAAAGUUAAUACCUUUGCUCAUUGACGUUACCCGCAGAAGAAGCACCGGCUAACUACGUG